rnacentral:rRNA from 1 species
UUUAAUGUCAAUUUAUUUUAUUUUUUAUUAAUUUUUAAUAAGUAGAUUUUUUACACGUUGCAUAGAAAUAAUUAUUUUUAAUUAUUAAUAUUAGGGUUAUAAAAUAAUUAAGAAACUAGGGUUAGUUGCCUAUUAUCAUUAAUGUAAAAUUUUUUAAGUAUUAUAAGUUAUUUCUUUAAACUUAAAUAUCAUGGCAGUAUUUUACCCCCUGCAGAGGAACUUGAAUAAUUAUUUGAUAAUCCUCACUAGGCCUUACUUAAAUUUAUUUUAUGUGUGGUUGUUUAAAUAAGUAAGCUAUUAUAAAUUAUAAAUCAGAUUUUAUGUAAAAAUAAUUAAGUUUAUUUUAGUUACAAGUAUCAUAUUUUUUAGGAUUUGCAAGUAAUUGUUUUUUUUUAUAAUGUAAAAAUGACGAGGUUAUAAAAUGUGUACAUAUUGUCCGUCACUCUCACUAAC